GGCACUAACCGCUNGCGGCGUGCCUAUACAUGCAGUCGAGCGAUGAUGAGAGCUGCUCUCAGAGUAGCGCGACGGUGAGUACACGUGGUACUGCCCAUAAGACUGGAUAACUCCCGGAAACCGGGGGCUAUACCGGAUAUAUUUUGAACUGCUGGUUCGAAAUUGAAAGGCGGCUUCGCUGUCACUUAUGGAUGACCCGCGUCCAUUACU
rnacentral:rRNA from 1 species